rnacentral:lncRNA from 1 species
CCUCAUGGUCUGAUCCAAUACCGAGCUCUUUUGCUCCGAAACAAAUGUAUAUGGAAACAACCACUUAGCUCACAACUCGAGACCAUAAACAUCACUCCUUCACCUCUGUAGGCGGUGGACCUCAGGUUUACCUCAUUAGCCUGUUGCCGCUGACAAGCUUGAUGCAAGUGCCAACGCCAGCGAGUUCCUGGCUCAACUGCCGACACUAGCUAGUCUUCAUGAACUCUUCCGCCAGUGAGUCCUUGCUUCCUAACUUCCCGUAGCUGCUGAGUUUGUCUUAAUCCGGCCAACUUCCUCAACUCCAUCCGCCUGUAAAGUUUAGAUCCGUUGAUGGCAAGUACUGCUGACCACUAUCAAGCUCACGAGACCUCGAUGGCCACCUGCAGCGGCCUCUUCGACCACCGUCACUUCGAGCGGGCGACCGAGCGUGCUCUCGUCAAGAUUUCACUAUGGUCGUCAGUAACUCUAGUAGCUAGGGCAUAGAGCCUUCUUCCAUUAAUCCAUCCUGUUGGGUGAAUAUUGUCGUUCUUGACUGAUGAGGAACAAUAGAUGAGAAUAAUAAUAAUAAAAUCAUAUGUCAAAUAUGUUUGGCUACUUCUAGAUACUUCUAUUGUAGUCUAGUAUUCCUUUUCUUUUCUCAACCCUAGCUAUUGUUUUCUAGAGUCUUCUAGCUAUGAGUAGCUAUUGUAGUCUAGUAUUCUCUCUUUGUGUGUUGUCCUCUGAUCCUCCUCUCCCUCCAAUGCAUCGAGCAACAACUACAUACAUGAUACAUCAUAGAGAAGAUGUAAGCAACAACAAGCAAACCAUUAAUUAGGCAAUGUAAAUUGUAAACUGAAGCUUAUCUCAUAGGCUAUGAGCGCUUUUCCAAACUGAAUGAGCAAUCAAAUCAAACUAGCAAACACGCAAUGCAAUAGGCAGAUCAUAUCACAACUUUACAAGCAAGCAUAUUACAUAACAAAUAAAAGUCUCAAACUUGCUUAGUUCUAUGAAACGAAAGUACCAUGAGUCCACGACCACGACCAUGAUCCACGAUAGUCUCACCACACCAUAGUCUUACAUAUCAAUUAAGAAACAAAAGACAAAUGCAUGAAUGCAAAUGCAUGAUAACUUGAUCACUUGAUGAUAUGAUGCCAACCAUCAUGCAAUGGUCAUUUGCUCAAUGCCUCUCAAUCAUCCUCAUACUCAAUGUCUUCAUCAUCCACCAUCUCAUUAUCACCAUCAGAUUCAAACUCCUCCUCAAGGUCUCACUCUUGCACUCCUACGAAGUUGGAGCUGCUCUUGUUCCCUGAUUGCUUCACCAAGUAGAUCCUACGAAAUCUCGUACCUUGAUGGAUAUCCCCAUCCUCAUCAAGAUAAGUAAGGUUUGCAUGAUC